GUGCAGUGGCACCAUCUCGACUCACUGUAGCCUCCACCUGCCAUGUUCAAGCGAUUCACCUGCCUCAGCCUCCCCAGUAGCUGGGACUACAGGGGUGCACCACCAUGCCUGGCUAAUUUUUGUAUUUUUAGUAAAGGCAGGGUUUCACCAUGUUGGCCAGGCUGGUCUCAAACUCCUGACAUCAGGUGAUCCACCUGCCUCGGCCUCCCAAAGUGCUGGGAUUACAACCAUGAGCCACUGCGCCCAGCCUGAAAUCAACUUUUCUA
rnacentral:lncRNA from 1 species